AGUGACUUACAGAGCAACUAUUCUGCAGAACAUGCUUUGGAAAACAGUGAACUGGAGUAACAAUGGCCUCCCCAAGAAGUUUCUGAUUUAAGCUCCGAAAUAGCUAGGAUUUCUGUCUGGCUGUUCACUGCUAUACGUUUUGCACCCUCCUGGGCACAAACUUCACACAGCGACACUGAUUGCCCAGGAACUCCC